rnacentral:rRNA from 1 species
CUAUGCGCCUUGCCAGCCCGCUCAGUCAGAGUUUGAUCCUGGCUCAGGAUGAACGCUAGCGGAAGGCCUAACACAUGCAAGUCGAGCGGUAUUUGGUAGCUUGCUACUAGAGAGAGCGGCGUACGGGUGCGUAACAUGUGUGCAACCUACCCUUAGUCAAGGGGAUAGCCAUUCGAAAGGAUGAUUAAUACCCUAUAAUAUAUCAGGUGGCAUCAUUUGAUAUUGAAAGCUACGGUGGAUAAGGAUGGGCACGCACAAGAUUAGCUAGUUGUAAGUAACGGCUUACCAAGGCGAUGAUCUUUAGGGGUCCUGAGAGGGAGAUCCCCCACACUGGGACUGAGACACGGCCCAG